AUUAUAUGAACUAAACUAUCACUGUGGUAUAUUUGAAUACUGUAUAUUUUGAAGCGUACCAACAACGCUAGCAAGUUCAGUGCUAUUUUACGAGUGAGACCAGUAGCGAAAGAAUGAUUUUGUUUCAUGAGAAGUAGUACCUGAACGCGGCCUGACUUGUGACAACCGCUGUCACUGGUACCAAACUUCCAAAGUAUAAACAAAACAUAUCCUAGCAGUGCACUACAUUUUCGUAUAGUCCAGCCAUUCAUGCAGGUGGAUUCAUAAUUUAUUGUUUGACAUUCUCUACCCAUAACUUAGGAAGAAGUGGCCCAUCUUUAUCAGUGUAUCAACAAGCUUAAGGUACCUAUAAGCUGUUUUGCAACAACAAAUGACAUUUUAAAAAGUGGUGAUGAAACGACCAAGGAUUUUAUUGAAUGUAUAUUUCUUAGGAAAGUUGGCACUAGCAAUUGUUGGAGUUUUUGUGUACUGUGAAUUCCUUCAUUAUUAUGUUGUUAUUGGUCAGUGUGAUUGGCCUGUGUUAAAUCCCAAUUCUGCUGACAAAAGCAUAGAGGAUAAUGGUAAUCAACUGCAUGUAAUGAUACUGGCAGACACUCAUUUAUUAGGAAGAAGAAAUGGACACUGGUUUGAUAAACUC